rnacentral:sRNA from 1 species
GCGGGCGACACAGCAUUUAUGCACAUGAGGGGUUUAUGUAACGGGCGUACUUCGAUUAACGAUUUGGUACUAUCCUAAUUACAGAUUACGAAUUGAUUAAGGAAAGAAAGAGAAAAGAAAUCAGAAGAAAAGGUCGUACGAAGGGGGUUCUUAUAGAGGAAAGUUCGGGGUGGAAGAAUAUCAGAAGCCGCUCCACAGUGGAGCGCGGAGCAGAAGAACAUUAAGGGGUAUGUGUAAGAAUUGUUAGAAGUUACACAAGCGCAGAAUGUGGAGCAGAGGAAUCAUUGAGAGCUAUGUGAAAGAAUCAUUAGAGACUACACAAGUGUGGAACACAGAGCAGGGGAACAUAAGAAGCUACACAGAAGAAUCAUUAGAGACUACACAAGCACAGAGCAUG